AGUGAACGCUGGCGGUAGGCCUAACACAUGCAAGUCGAACGGCAGCACAGUAAGAGCUUGCUCUUACGGGUGGCGAGUGGCGGACGGGUGAGGAAUACAUCGGAAUCUACUUUUUCGUGGGGGAUAACGUAGGGAAACUUACGCUAAUACCGCAUACGACCUACGGGUGAAAGCAGGGGAUAUUCGGACCUUGCGCGAUUGAAUGAGUCGAUGUCGGAUUAGCUAGUUGGCGGGGUAAAGGCCCACCAAGGCGACGAUCCGUAGCUGGUCUGAGAGGAUGAUCAGCCACACUGGAACUGAGACACGGUCCAGACUCCUACGGGAGGCAGCAGUGGGGAAUAUUGGACAAUGGGCGCAAGCCUGAUCCAGCCAUACCGCGUGGGUGAAGAAGGCCUUCGGGUUGUAAAGCCCUUUUGUUGGGAAAGAAAAGCAGCAGGUUAAUACCCCGCUGUUCUGACGGUACCCAAAGAAUAAGCACCGGCUAACUUCGUG
rnacentral:rRNA from 1 species